GACGAACGCUGGCGGCGUGCUUAACACAUGCAAGUCGAGCGGAGCGGCGAACGGGUGAGUAACGCGUGAGUAACUGCCCCCCUCCCUGGGAUAACAGUUGGAAACGGCUGCUAAUACCGGAUAGUGGGGGAUGACUCGCGUCCUAUCAGAUUGUUUGUGGGGUAGUGGCCUACCAAGGGGACGACGGGUAGCCGGCCUGAGAGGGGGACCGGCCACAUUGGGCUGAGGUACGGCCCAAACGGCAACGGGAGGCAGCAGGGGGGAAUAGUGCACAUGGGGGGAAACUCUGAUGCAGAAACGCCGGGUGCGUGAUGACGGCCUUCGGGUUGGAAACCGCUUUCAGCCAUGACGCGGUAGUGGCAGAAGAAGCACCGGCUAACUACGUGCCAGCAGCCGCGGUAAUAC
rnacentral:rRNA from 1 species